rnacentral:tRNA from 1 species
GCUGCUAUAGUAAAAUUGGUAGACACACUACUCUUAAGAAGCAGUGCUAAAGCAUCUCGGUUUGAGUCCUAGUAGCGGCA